rnacentral:tRNA from 1 species
GGGGUUGUAGCUCAGCAGUAGAGCACUCACUUCAUAUGUGCGAGUCCCUGGGUUCGAUCCUCAGCACCA